UUGAGCGUGUUGUAUUUCGUAAAUGCCAUUAACUUUAAUAAAUACCAAUUUAUUAAGAAAAACAGGCUUGAAUUCUGCUUUCUAUUUUAUAGAUGUGUUGAAUGAAGACCAUAGAAGUAUUUUAAAAUGCCGUGGUUCAGUGAGCUUGAAUUGAUCAGAUAGAUGCAGUUAUGAUGUUAUUAAUUUACUUACCAUUUUCAUAUCAUUGGUCGAGUAAACACGGCGCCUAUACGAUGUGGUAUGCAGCGUUGGUGCGUUUCAUCAGAAGGAGAUUAGUAUUGGGAAUAAUAUUUGCAUCUUCACUGACAUACUGUAUCGUUAGUUUCUUACGAGAGGGUAGCCACAGACAUAUGAUAUACCAGGAUGUAUCAAUAGAGCGGAAGCCGUUUGUUUGGCGAACUCUACAAGAGCACAAUGAUACAAAUGACGGCAUAUCAUGCAGGAACUCUGUACAGGGGAAACUACUUUUAGUAGAUGAUAGAGGAUACAUUUGUCAAAGAUCAGACAUGAUGAAGAAUGGAUGUUGUGACCCCGACGCGGAGUCUUCUAAGAAGUACAGUUGUGAGUCCUGCAAGGAGAACAACUGUUGCAUUAUUUACGAACAUUGUGUCUCGUGCUGUUUAGAUCCAGGAAAGAGAGACAUGUUAGAGCUAGUAUUAUCAAAACUCUCAGCGGAAGAAAAUGUGUUGUUCCGCACUUUGAGUGACGACUAUGAGUUGUGUCUAACCAAGUGUCGAACCAGCUCACAUAGCGUCCUUCACGAGAACUCGUACAAGGACCCUGCACACAAACACUGCUUCGGCCACGAACCGCCCAAGUUCAGGACACCAGACUAGUAAAUAGUGAAAUUAGGUAGCUACUUUAUAAUAUUUUAAUUUUACUUUUAGACAGCUGGAAACUUGCUCUAGAAAUAUCUGUUUUAGCGGUUCUCAUUGCUGAGCUGUUGACAUUAUAAGUCUCCAGUUAUGAAAAACAUACAGUUUUACCAUACUACACUCAUGCAAGUUUUAAUUACUGUAAAGUAUAGGGCCUAGAAACUGAGUGGAACUACUUCAUUAACAAGUAGAAGUAAAGGAAGUCCAUAUAAUGUUAAUAAUAGCUCCACUCAGCUUAAUUUAACAAAUUCAAUGAUGUUGAUUCUGGUGAACUUGAUUUUCGUUUAGUUUAAUUUGAUAGUUCUAAAAUUAGUGCUACCUAUGCCUCACUCAUACUUAGUAAACAUGGUACACCAUCUAAUUUAUUUUAAGUUACACCUGUCAUUUUCUUUUCCGACAAAAAGGAAAGGGACGGGUAAUCGACAGGCAUAAAAUAUAAGGAGAAAACGUCAAUUUUAGGCAGACACUUAAACAACCAAAUUUUACAUUGACCAAUAACCCGACAGUAUUAAGUUGACAGAACACGACAAACAAGUUACAUAUCAGCGGGAUGCCUAUUUAAUUUUUUUUUUAAAUGGAGAGCUGUCAAUCAUCCGUCCCUUUCCUUUUCGGCAGAUAAGAAAUUGACAGAUAUAACUUAAAAUAAAUUUAGGAGAUGUCUGCAGGAAUCAAAGCCACUAUUUUAAGAGCUAUCAAGCUAAAAUAGUAAUCAAGAAUUGUCUACCAGAAUCAAAACCAUUAACAAUUGAAAAUCAGUACUGUUAAGUAGACUUUGCACUCAAUGCAUCAAGAUAGUGAUAUGUUAUUAUCCCAUUUGAAUUUAGAUAGUUUUUUAUAUUUAAAGAAGUUAUAGCAAAUAAUUAUUCUUUGAGCAAUAAUGUUACUGUUAGGAUGAUAUGUUUUAAGUAUACUAUUUAUUGCCAAUUUUUACGUAAAAGUUUAACCUCAAAUAUAAAAUAGCCGUCUUCAUCAGUACUUAAAAGAUUUAUUGAGGAAAUUAUUUUUAUUAUGAUUUAGAAUAUUUUGCGACUUUAACUUCGUGCGCAGCGAUGAAAAAGGCACCAAUCGCCCAAUGCCAUUUGAAGUAGGUAGGAAUUAUACCUAUUAUUUGCCUGCGAAAUGAAUACUACGAAUUAAUACUGCGAUAUGUAGCUUCUAACACGGAAAUUUACUUCACGUAGACAUAUAAGAUGAAUGGUUUAGGAUUCCUUGUCAAAAUAUUAAAUCAAGUAAUGUUAGCAAAACAGUGCUCAGUUCGCAUUUUUCGCUAGGUGUAUGUUAUGCCUAGUUCGGAAAACCCGUGACUUACAUCGAAUUCCGUCUCGGGGCCCUAAACCACCGAAUUUGGCACGUGGUGUUUAGAAUAUUAUUAGGCUCGCUCCUACGGCUCGCUCCCUAUUACAUGGGACUUAGACACAGCUGUCAAGUGGGUGCAUUACUAUACAUCAAACCCAGGUGUGAUGCUAUGAUAUGUUAUGUCAUUUGCUUUGUGAUCGAGUGAUUUAAAUUAAGAAAAAAAAUCGGGUGUCAUUUGACAGUUGAUGGUGAGUAUUGUGGUCAGAGGAAAUUAAAUAGAUGAGCACAUCAAUGCAAAAAGGUGAACGAACUGUUCGUGAAGUCCAAUGCAAACCGUUGAAACAAAUAUAAAGCUGUGGCACUUCACUAUUUUUAUCUCUUUGUUCGUACAUUACAUACAUACAGUACAUUAUCCUUUUGUUUUGGACUGAUUUAAGGCUUGCAUUUACAGGCUGGAAACUGGUAAACUCUUUACCAUAAAUCAUAUAAUAUUAUACAUUAAGUAUAAUACAUACAAUAAUUAUACAUUAAGUAUAAUUUUAUAUAAUUUAUCCCGCGAUAUUUAGCUUUAACACUCUCUUAAAUUAUUACGAAUGCCUUAAUUACGAUUUAUAUUAUUUAGAUAGUAUACCUAAUGUAAGUUAACUUUCAUAUUUAAAUCAUGUUCUUGAAAACAAUUAUUAACCAUGCCAUACUACUGUAUGGUAGACACUACUGUGUCUACCGAGACGGACCUAACUUCGUUGUAGUUAAGGUUUGCAGUAAAAAAAAGAAAAGGAAUCAUCAUCGUCACGUUGAAUAACUUGCGGUAACUUAAUUCUAGAUUAGUUUGCUCUAAAAAUAGUGAUGUCCUUUAUUUAUUUUGUGACUGUAAACUUUAGCUAUAAUUAAGUUUGGUCCGCUAGAACAACUCUAUUGUUAUUUCCGGCCUGAACCAGUGAGUGGAUUGAUAACUUAAUUCUAGUUUAGUUUAACAGCUCUAAAAAUUGCGACGUCCCUUACGUAUUUUUUUAACUCUUGAUGUUACCUAUAAUUUCGUUUGGUCCGACAGAUGAAACCGACUAUUUUAUGUCUGGCCUGAUUCAUCAGUGAGUGGAUUGAUAACUUAAUUCUAGUUUAGUUUCACAGCUCUAAAAAUAGCAACAUCCCUUAUAUACUUUGUAACUCUUAAUGUUAACUAUAAUUAAGUUUGGUCCACAUGAACCAGUAAUGUGCCGGUCUCGGAAAUGUUCCCAAAUGGGAAUGUGUAAAAGCUCUUUAAUAGUAAGGAUACUGGCUGCUUUUCUUUUUCAAAUUGUUCUUUCUUGUGCUCCGGUCAGGUUAGGUAAUAAAGCUCUUUUUAUGUUUCCACUUUGGGAACGGCACUUCACUGGCUAGAACCGACUAUUUUUAUGUCUGGCCUGAAUCAGUGAGUGGAUUGAUAAUUUUAAGAUAAGAUACUUUAUUUGCCAAACAUGAGUAUAUAACACCUUAGAGUAACUGUGAGAGGAGUAGUGAUACGCAGGCGUUCUCCCAUAGUGUUUGCACAUUUAUGAAGUCCAAAACUAGUUUGUAUCCUACCGACUGAUUUUCUCGCCGAACGAUAGUGUUUACCAGAUUCUAGAUGGUUUUCGAUAAAAAUGUCAAAGAGAUAGGAGUCUACAUUUACAGCUGUGGGUCUCGUAUAAUCAUUUAAAAAUAUAAUUAUUAUUUUGUUAAAUUAUAAUAAUUAAAGUAAUAAUUAGACCUACCUUAUUAAUUAUUAGAUCUUUAUUAUCAUAUUUUAAACUUAAACGUCUUCCGGAAUUUAUCGAUAAAUGUGUUAUCCGGAUGAAUUCCGGUAUUAAUGACGUAGCUUUCCUAUUCUCUGCCCCGCAAAAAAGGAUAUUUUUUGACGUGAUUUAUUGUAGAUUUGCCACAGAGGGCAUUAACUACUUGGCCGGACAACUGGGAGAGCUGAGAGCUCUCACCCGGUACAAAAUAUAAGACAACAGGCCUGAGGAUGCCCAGUUGGGCGCAAACCUCGGCUCAGGGUGUCGUCGGAUAGGAAGCUUUAUAAAUAUUAUAAGUCCGCCAUGUUUUGCCUUCAGGAGUAUCUUUUUGGGCGAUGAUGGACCGAUAUCCUGUCAUUAGCUCAUUAUUAUGUCCAUCUUAGUACGAAUAUCAGGCGUGGCGGAUUGACUUAGGUCACUUUAAGUUUACACCUUUUCACCUACUUAAAUCUUGAAUAAAUAUAUACCUCAAGGGUUAUUUUUUAUUACAGGGCACUGUUUUAUUGGUGUUGUAAUUUUUACUAAAAUAAUAAUAAAUAGCUAUGUUCAAGAACUCAUAUUAAAACCAGACACACAUACUCAUCAAAUAUUACAAUUAUUUUUCACGGUUACCAAAUUAGUUAUUUAAUACUUGUUAUGUAGGUAAAAGAUUUUUAUGGAGUAAUAAAAUAUUUUGUACAAUA
rnacentral:misc_RNA from 1 species